rnacentral:rRNA from 1 species
CCUACGGGAGGCAGCAGUGAGGAAUAUUGGUCAAUGGGCGCGAGCCUGAACCAGCCAAGUAGCGUGAAGGAUGACUGCCCUACGGGUUGUAAACUUCUUUUAUAAAGGAAUAAAGUGAGGCAUGUGUGCCUUUUUGUAUGCACCUUAUGAAGAAGGAUCGGCUAACUUCGUGCCAGCAGCCGCGGUAAUAUGGAGGAUCCGAGCGUUAUCCGGAUUUAUUGGGUUUAAAGGGAGCGUAGAUGGGUUGGUAAGUCAGUUGUGAAAGUUCGCGGCUCAACCGUAAGAUUGCAAUUGAUACUGGCAGUCUUGAGUGCAGUAGAGGUAGGCGGAAUUCGUAGUGUAGCGGUGAAAUGCUUAGAUAUCACGAAGAACUCCAGUUGCGAAGGCAGCUUACUAAACUGCCACUGACAUUGAUGCUCGAAAGUGUGGGUAUCAAACAGGAUUAGAUACCCUGGUAGUC